rnacentral:lncRNA from 1 species
CCCCACCCCAGGGCCGCCGUCGUUUCGGCGCGGUCUGCGAGUCGGGCGUGAAACGGGGUUCCAGAGGUUGAUCCCCGCCCCUGCGGCCGCUCGCCCGGCGCUGCAGUUUCGCGGGAAAGAGAAUAGCGGCGUCAAGAAGGCCGGUUCGUCUGAUUGGCGACGAUGAGAUGAGAUGGGCGUACAGUGCUCAACAUAGUGCCUAGAGCAUAGUAAGCCCCCAAAUAGCUUUAUCACUUAUUACUCUUUUUAUAUUACAUACAACUUUAUGAAGGUCCGGGAUCUCAUUUAAAAUGAGGGAAAUGAGAUCGAGGCGUUAAGAAACUUAUUCGGGGUUGCGUGGCUGGUAGACGAUGGAGAUGGGAUUCGAACACCGCUGUGUAGCCCAAACCUGCACUUUUAAUUCACUUCUUCCCAAAUUAACCUCAGUAUUUGAUGUGGACACAAUGAAGGGUUCAACGUUGCAGUCCUUUUACAGACUUGGAAGGCACAUUAGUAGGGAUAGGAUGUUUCGAUAUCUACCGAAGAUUUUAAGUACAAAAGACAGUGGGAAAUUACUGCGAAUUUUUGCAGGUUCCGACUUUAAGUGUCUCAGCUUGAGCGCUGAGGACAUGAGGGCAGGAAACAAGCACAUUUUCUUUCGACUAUGUUCUUCCCGGUCAGCAGUUACCAGUGUGACAAAGGAAAAGCCGUCUGACCUCAAAGAAAGGUGACCUCCUGUCCCCUGAUACCUCUCUCUGCAGUCCAGGGCUUCCGAAAGGAGCCAUCUCUGGAUGAAAACUGACUUUUUCUGUGCUGCUUUUUUUUUUUUUUUUUAACUUUGAACAGUGUAGCAGAAGAUUUUUACAAAGGAAGGUUUUGCUCCAAAUGAACAAAGUUUCCCAGAAGAAAAAACAAUCUAAAAAGCUUCUCCACCACCUGUCCUGGUAAGGCACAGAGAGGACAUGACUUCACAUGAGAGAGCUUAUCAAAUAAAAGCUGCUUGUCAUA